UUUCGAUCCCGGAAGAGUUUGCAAAAAUAACCACACAUCAGCUAAUGGAUAUAUGCAAGUGUAAAGAAUAAAUUGUGAAUUCUGCCAAGAAAUUAAAGACAUCUAUGCAAGUUUUGUUGAGGUUCGUAUUAGCUAGGCCUUUUAAGUCGUCUUUUUUACUUGAUUUACUUUUAUAAAUAUUGUACUUGUUUUUGCAUUACAAUUUAUACAAUGAGCAAGAAUAUUUGACUAUUUUGUACUUAUGUAAAUAAUUUCGUUCUUGCGAGAGAUUCUUCAUUGUUUAUGCACAAACUUCAAUUCUUAUCAUACACAAACAAACAAGAAAAAGCAAGAAACUGGAGACAUCGCUGGAGUGUGGUUAUUUCUGGAAGAUCUUCUGAGAUUGAUUCCAUAUUCAUACAUACAAGGAAUAGUCGUUCAAGGCAUGGAAAGAUAUCACUAUUGGCUCUCCAGUAUCUGAUGUUCAAGCGACUCAACAUGAAGAACUUCAACCGUGGAAAUCCUUCCUCGACUACUUCCGCCUUUGUACCAAUACUGGAGGAAGCAAAUCUUAGUUUGAGGGCCUCGAGUUUGGGCAACUUACCAAAAAUUCUCAAAUCCUCCAAAUUCACUUGAGUAUUGGUAAAAGCUAACUUUUUAAGGUUCUCCAGGAAAGCUUCCAGACGAGGAAGUACUAAUUGUGGCAUCCCAUAAAAUUUCAAUUCCUCGAGCCAGAAAAAGACCAAAACUUAUGGAAGCCCUUCAUUUUGUUGCUUUAUAUGUAGUCUUGUUGGUUACCGCAUAUCUGCAACUUCCUUACAUAAGGAGCUUGUACAGUGAAAUGAUAAUCACAGUACAAAGAUUCCAGGAACUAUGUUAUUCCUAUCCAAGGAGAGGUUCCUCAAUUGCGACAUCUCAAAAAUUUCACGGUCCAUAAUUUUUGCAAUUUUAGUAUAAAAGUUUCCAAA